rnacentral:tRNA from 1 species
UCCACCUUAGCUCAGCUGGUUGGAGCGCACGGCUGUUAACCGUGAGGUCACCAGUUCGAACCUGGUAGGUGGAG